AUUUCUAAAAAUAAUUCCCAACAUUUUUUCUUUUCCCGCUUCUCCUCUCCUUCCUCUUCUCUGGUUUCCCUAAAACCUACUCUCACCUUCCCCUCUCUGGUUUCCGGCUCCUAGUUUCUCUUCUCUUCCCCUCUGCGGUUAUCUGGGCAGGAAAUCAAUACUCACAACACACACCGCACUCCCACCGCCGCAUCGCCGCAGCUGCUCCCCACCGCCGCAUCGCCGAUGUUUCCCCCCACCACAGAAUUUGUCCUCUUCCUUCCGCGACCACAGCAUAAAGGCGUCGCUCCUCCUUAUCUCAUAUAGGUGUCAUAGAACUGCUAGAAACUGCAGGGAAGAGCUGAACUAAGACUCGUGAAUCCUGAGAUGCUUAAGCCAAUGUGCACUGCAUUUAGCAUUCUUGAUAAGUGUGGGUGCCUAAUACCUUGUAGGAUCUAAUGCUGUUGAAUGUGUUCAGUUUAUGAGUGGACUGUAAGAUCUCAAUCUUUGGUGCCAAAUACCAGUUCAUGCUCUGUUGUGUUUCCCAGUUGACCUUUUUCGAGCAUAAUUUUGAGUUUAGCAGUAAUAAGCCAAAAAAUAACAUAGAUUUAACUAUGUAUUAAAAAAAGUUUUGGAUCUUUUGAUCAAUGAAAAUCAGUAUAGUUGGUCUUGACCAGUCUACAAUCUUAAAUUUUGUUCUAAAUUUUUUACAGCAAUCCUUGUAAAUUUGUUGCUCUUUAAACUGUUAAUUUUCUCAAUGUGAAAAUCACAAUGGUUGAACCUUAAGAAUUUGUUUGAUAAUUUUCCUUCCGCAUUUUCUUCCAUAGGUGCAUAAUCAUGACCAAGCAUGACAGUCAUUGAUUUCAUUUCACCUUUUCUCUUGAUUAAUGUAGGUCGAUAACAUAUCGAUAUUAAAACAAACACUCACGGUAGUCUUUGAAACAUAAAUCUAAGUGUAUUAAACAUGUUAAGGGUUUAAAAUACUCAUUUAGGUUCAUUAGUUGAAAGGUGGGACCGAAAUAAAUCAUUUAAGCCAAAAUGUGACCUAUAAUGAUCAAAUGAACCUUAAAUGUGUAUAACUUGACCAAAGUCGGUGAUAAUGAGUUUUUGAAACAUAAAGCUAAGUGUAUUAAAAAUGUAAAGGGUUUAAAAUACCCAUUUAGGUUCAUUAGUCUAAAGUUUCGACCGAAAUAAGCCAUUUUAGUCAAAAUGUAACCUAUACUUAUCAAACGAGUUUCAUAUAUGCAUAACUUGACUAAAGUAGGCGAGAAUGAGUAUUUGAAACAUAUAUCUAAGUAUAUAUUAAACAUAUAAAGGGUUUUAAAUACUUAUAUAGGUUCAUUGGUUGAAAGUUAGAACCGAAAUAAGUCAUUUUAGUCAAAAUGUGGCCUAUAAUGAUCAAACAAGUCUUAAAUGUGCAUAAUUUGACCAAAGUAUGUGAGAAUAAGCAUCUGAAACAUAAAAUUAAGUAUGUUAAACAUAGAAAGACUUUAAAUUACUCAUUUAAGUUCAUUAGUUGAAAGUUGGGAUCGAAAUUAGCCAUUUUAGUCAAAAUGUGACCGAUAAUGAACUAACAAAGCUUAAAUUUGCAUAACUUCACCAAAAUGGUGAGAAUGAGUCUGUGAAACAUAAAACUAAGUGUAUUAAACAUGGAAAGACUUUAAAAUACUCAUUUAAGUUCAUUAGUUGAAAGUUGGGACCGAAAUUAGCCAUUUUAGUCAAAACGUGACCGAUAAUGAACUAACGAAGCUUAAAUGUGCAUAACUUCACCAAAAUGGUGAGAAUGAGUCUUUGAAACAUAAAACUAAGUGUAUUAAACAUGGAAAGACUUUAAAAUACUCAUUUAAGUUCAUUAGUUGAAAGUUAGGACCGAAAUUAGCCAUUUUAGUCAAAACGUGACCGAUAAUGAACUAACGAGACUUAAAUGUGCAUAACUUCACCAAAUGGGUGAGAAUGAGUAUUUGAAACAUAAAACUAAUUGUAUUAAACAUGGAAAGACUUUAAAAUACUCAUUUAAGUUAAUUAGUUGAAAGUUGGGAUCGAAAUUAGCCAUUUUAGUCAAAAUGUGACCGAUAAUGAGCUAACGAGGCUUAAAUGUGCAUAACUUCACCAAAAUGUGUGAGAAUGAGUCAUUGAAACAUAAAACUAAGUGUAUCAAACAUGGAAAAACUUUAAAAUACUCAUAUAAGUUCAUUAGUUGAAAGUUGGGAUCGAAAUUAGCCAUUUUAGUCAAAAUAUGGCCGAUAGUGAUCAAAUGAGUCUUAAAUGUGCAUAACUUCACCAAAAUGGGUGAGAAUUAGUAUAUAUAAAACUAAGUGUAUAAAACAUGUACAGACUUUAAAAUACUUAUUUAAUUUCAUUAGUUGAAAGUUGGGACCGAAAUUAGUCAUUUUAGUCUUAAAUACCUCCAGCGCACUCCACAGAGCAGCCAUGCUCGGGUCACUCCCCAGCGCAGUCCGGGAAGCCCGCUUCAUCUCGUACAAGAGGUGGCUAUAUGCCAAGCCACCCCAGUUAUAGCUCGAAACAUCUCUCAAGUCCCUCAGAACGGACAGAAACCUGAUGUGCACCCGACUGUUCCUACUCGGGACCAUCACUCUGCUCACCAAGGCUAGGAGAAAGAGCCUAACCCUCGGCCUACAGGUGAACGAGUUAACUCCAAACCUAUACAAAUACAAAAU